rnacentral:rRNA from 1 species
GACAGAGGGUGCAAACGUUGUUCGGAAUUACUGGGCGUAAAGCGAGUGUAGGCGGUUUGGUAAGUCGGAUGUGAAAGCCCCGGGCUCAACCCGGGAAGUGCACUCGAUACUGCCAAGCUAGAGUAUCGGAGAGGUUGGUGGAAUUCUCGGUGUAGAGGUGAAAUUCGUAGAUAUCAGGAAGAACACCCGUGGCUAAGGCGGCUCUCUAGUACGGUACUGACGCUGAGACGCGAAAGCGUGGGGAGCGAACAGG